UACGUAGGGACCAAGCGUUGUUCGGAUUUACUGGGCGUAAAGGGCGCGUAGGCGGCUUAACAAGUCACUUGUGAAAUCUCCGGGCUUAACUCGGAACGGCCAAGUGAAACUGUCAAGCUAGAGUGCAGAAGGGGCAAUCGGAAUUCUUGGUGUAGCGGUGAAAUGCGUAGAUAUCAGGAGGAACACCGAUGGCGAAGGCAGCUCGCUGGGACGGUACUGACGCUGAGGCGCGAAAGCGUGGGGAGCGAACAGG
rnacentral:rRNA from 1 species